rnacentral:rRNA from 1 species
GACGAACGCUGGCGGCGUGCUUAACACAUGCAAGUCGAACGGAAAGGCCUCUUUCGGGGGGUACUCGAGUGGCGAACGGGUAAGUAACACGUGAGUAACCUGCCCUUGACUUUGGGAUAACUUCAGGAAACUGGGGCUAAUACCGGAUAGGAGCUCCUGCUGCAUGGUGGGGGUUGGAAAGUUUCGGCGGUUGGGGAUGGACUCGCGGCUUAUCAGCUUGUUGGUGGGGUAGUGGCUUACCAAGGCUUUGACGGGUAGCCGGCCUGAGAGGGUGACCGGCCACAUUGGGACUGAGAUACGGCCCAGACUCCUACGGGAGGCAGCAGUGGGGAAUAUUGCACAAUGGGUGGAAGCCUGAUGCAGCAACGCCGUGUGCGGGAUGACGGCCUUCGGGUUGUAAACCGCUUUCGCUCAUGACGAAGCUUUGUGUGACGGUAGUGGGUAAAGAAGCACCGGCUAACUACGUG